GUUAAAAAGCUCGUAGUCGGAUUUCGGGGCGGGCCGAGCGGUCUGCCGAUGGGUAUGCACUGUUCGGCGCGUCCUUCUUUCCGGAGACUGCGCCUACUCUUAGCUGAGCGGGCGUGGGAGACGGAUCGUUUACUUUGAAAAAAUCAGAGUGUUUCAAGCAGGCAGCUCGCUCUUGCAUGGAUUAGCAUGGGAUAAUGAAAUAGGACUCUGGUGCUAUUUUGUUGGUUUCGAACACCGGAGUAAUGAUUAACAGGGACAGUCAGGGGCACUCGUAUUCCGUCGAGAGAGGUGAAAUUCUCAGACCAAUGGAAGACGAACCACUGCGAAAGCAUUUGCCAGGGAUGUUUUCACUGAUCAAGAACGAAAGUUAGGGGAUCGAAGACGAUCAGAUACCGUCGUAGUCUUAACCAUAAACCAUGCCGACUAGGGAUUGGAGGGUGUUCUAUUUGACCCCUUCAGCACCUUACGGGAAACUAAAGUCUUUGGGUUCCGGGGGGAGUAUGGUCGCAAGGCUGAAACUUAAAGGAAUUGACGGAAGGGCACCACCAGGAGUGGAGCCUGCGGCUUAAUUUGACUCAACACGGGGAAACUUACCAGGUCCAGACAUUGUUAGGAUUGACAGAUUGAGAGCUCUUUCUUGAUUCGAUGGGUGGUGGUGCAUGGCCGUUCUUAGUUGGUGGAGUGAUUUGUCUGGUUAAUUCCGUUAACG
rnacentral:rRNA from 1 species